rnacentral:rRNA from 1 species
ACGAACCGUGCGAACGUUGUUCGGAAUCACUGGGCUUAAAGGGCGCGUAGGCGGGCGGUCAAGUCAGAGGUGAAAUCCCACGGCUCAACCGUGGAAGUGCCCCUGAUACUGAUCGUCUCGAGGGAGGUAGGGGCGUGCGGAACUUCCGGUGGAGCGGUGAAAUGCGUAGAUAUCGGAAGGAACACCGAUGGCGAAAGCAGCGCGCUGGAUCUCUACUGACGCUGAGGCGCGAAAGCCAGGGGAGCAAACGGG